UACAGAGGUGCCAAGCGUUAGGCGGAAUCACUGGGCUUAAAGCGCGUGUAGGCGGGUCGUUAAGUGUCCGAGUGAAAUCCCACGGCUCAACCGUGGAACUGCCGGGCAUACUGGCGAGCUUGAGGCAUUCAGGGGCGAGCGGAACAAAUGGUGGAGCGGUGAAAUGCGUAGAUAUCAUUUGGAACGCCAAUGGUGAAAACAGCUCGCUGGGAAUGAUCUGACGCUGAGACGCGAAAGCCAGGGGAGCGAACGGG
rnacentral:rRNA from 1 species